CAAAUCUCACAUCCAUUUCUCCAUGUCUUGAGAUCCUGUCCAGGAACAGCACAGGCUGGAUCGGCGACAAAGGGCAGCCCUGGCGAGGUCCAACUCACACUGGGAACAAGCUCGACUUUGUGCCAAGAAUGUUGACACAGCCUGUGGUUUGGUCAUACGAGGAACGGGUCGCCCGUAAAAGCCACACAGGUGACGGAUACUCCUACAGGAUUCCUGGAAAUAACUUUUUUAAGGACACAGAGGAGUUUUCUCCCUUGAUAGCUGGAACACUCUCUCCCGUCCUCUCUCUAAAAUGUUGGAGCCGUCCGGGCCUGCUACUCUACAGGGAGAGAUGCUUAUCUGGACCCGUCAGCAGCCACCUGGAUGGAUGAGCCUGGCUCUCCACAGCACUGGCUCACCUUCCCUCUGCACCAAAGACAAACUGGCUAACUUCCCUCGUACAGACCACUGCAACCUCUUUUCACCUCCAAGACAAAUUAUCUCUGCCAGGAGAGCAAGAUUCAGAGAGCCAAAAGAAAGCUGGAGCGAUGCUGGUCCUUUAAUUAAGAUUCAUCAUCUCACAGGGCCAUCCAUCUCUUAUAGAGCUUCAUUAGAACUAUAGUUAUGAUCUAAUAAAUAAACAGAAGGUCUAGACUGCUUUAAUUUUCA